rnacentral:rRNA from 1 species
CUACGGGGGGCUGCAGUGGGGAAUAUUGGACAAUGGGGGAAACCCUGAUCCAGCAAUGCCGCGUGUGUGAAGAAGGCCUGCGGGUUGUAAAGCACUUUCGGUUGGGAGGACUGCUUCUAGCACUAAUAUUGUUGGAAGUUGACGUUACCUUCAGAAGAAGCACCGGCUAACUCCGUGUCAGCAGCCGCGGUAAUACGGAGGGUGCAAGCGUGAAUCGGAAUUACUGGGCGUAAAGCGCGCGUAGGCGGCUAGAUCAGUCGGGUGUGAAAGCCCCGGGCUUAACCUGGGAACUGCAUCCGAUACUGUCUAGCUUGAGUACAGGAGAGGAGAGUGGAAUUCCACAUGUAGCGGUGAAAUGCGUAGAUAUGUGGAGGAACACCAAUGGCGAAGGCAGCUCUCUGGCCUGAUACUGACGCUGAGGUGCGAAAGCGUGGGGAGCAAACAGGAUUAGAUACCCGAGUAGUC